GCUUAGCUGUCUCCUCUUCCAAGUCAAUGAAAUUGAUCUGCCCGUGCAGAAGCGGACAUAAGCACAUAAGACGAGAAGACCCUAUGGAGCUUUAGACACCAGGCAGAUCACGUCAAACAACCUUGGAUUAACAAGUAAAAACGCAGUGACCCCUAACCCAUAUGUCUUUGGUUGGGGCGACCGCGGGGGAAAAUUAAGCCCCCAUGUGGACUGGGGGCACUGCCCUCACAGCCAAGAGCUACAACUCUAAGCACCAGAAUAUCUGACCAAAAAUGAUCCGGCAAACGCCGAUCAACGGACCGAGUUACCCUAGGGAUAA
rnacentral:rRNA from 1 species